rnacentral:misc_RNA from 1 species
GUGAAUCAUCGAAUCUUUGAACGCAAAUUGCACUCUCUGGUAUUCCGGGGAGUAUGCCUGUUUGAGGGUCAGUUUUAAUAAAAAUCGGUGUGGUUGCUGCCUUUUGUGGUUACGCACCGGAUGUGGGUCGUCUUUCCUUCGGUUAAGUGACCUAAAAUUUUGCAUGAUUUUUUCGUACGUAUUUAAAUUAUUUUAUUUACGUUUGCGUUAUCUAAUAAUAGGUAC